UAGUAUAACNAUAGUACAGCUGACUUCCAAUCAUCCAGUCUCAGAAUGGCCCUGAGAGAGAGUA
rnacentral:tRNA from 1 species